rnacentral:lncRNA from 1 species
AUAAUCUGAAAACGAACACGCCUCAUUGUACAAUUGAUUUCAUCAGUUUCCUCCAUUCGACUAAAUUUUGUUAGAGAGUUUUAAAAGUCGGUAUUAGUUGGAAAUUCGCAAAGCGUCUGUGCCCUCUGCUUUUUCGCUUUCAAUCGUUUAAAAAAUUGGGCCUUUCAUCUUUACACAUUUUUUGGAGAUUCAAUAUAAACAUUAAAUUGUUUUAAUUCUUUUUUCAGAUAAGAUUUGCCCCAACACUGCUAAACCCGCCUCUUUUCUAUUCUCUUCAAGUUUCUUUUGUGAAAUGGCAGCCCAUCCAACGAAUCUGUACACACUACUUUUUGGCUCUUUAUCUCGUAUCUUCCGAGACUUGCAAUUUUUUUAAACAAUGAGAGAGUUCAACUGAAUUAGAUUCUUCGGUUCACUGUGACUUGGAGAACUACUGGGAAUAAUGGUACCCGCCUCGCAGGAUAACUGAUCAAUUUAAAAAUAUGAAUCACCGCGACUUCGUGUGAAUAGUCGACGUUGGAUAAAAAUGUACACGGAGAGAAAAAAUAUUGAGCAUAGUAAAAUUCCGAGAGCUCGAAUACAAGAAUCGCCGAUCCGCCGAAAUGUUUGAAAAUUUACUAUGGAACAUAGCAGAACUUCAUUCGCCCUUGAAUAUUUACACGGAGAGAAUAAAAUUGUAAAAAUUACUAUGACAUCAUAUCGCUUCUAUAUCGCUCAUUUUGGGCGGUUUUACCAAAAACAUUGUAACUUCCAAGUCAGUUUCGAACAAAAACUUUGAAAUUGCAUAUUUUGCUUUGACCGUGCAAAGGCUUAAACUGUGCUAUUUUUUCCUACGUAGUUCACCGAGGAAACAUUGUAAAAUUUGAUGAUGAACUGUAAAGUAGAAUUAUUAAUGCCGUUUUGCUAUGAUUAGUACUGUUCUCACAAUCGAAAUUUACAGUUGAACAUAGUAGAAUUUGAGGAGCUCGAACACAAGCAUCGAUAAUCCACCAAAGUGUUUAGAAAUUUACUGUGGUACACAGCAGAAUUUCAUUCGCACUUGUACGACAAUAUAUUUGUUUUGGUAUUACACAUAUCAACUUUGAUCGAGUUCUCGCUUCACAAAAAAUUAUUAUGUAUCUUCCUAGAAUUAAUAAAUAUCACGAUAUAGAACCCUACUCGAUGGGACCAUAAUAGUUUUGACUAGAAUUUUCUCCCCGUGUACAAAACGGCUGGUUGAGUUUUCGAAAGUAGCGUUUACGUUGCUACCAAAGCUGAAAUAACUUGAAAAAUCUAGUAACAAGCAUUCGACAUUUUUUCUACCUUCAUUAAAUCGAAUUUUUCGUUCUCUAUUUUAUGCUCGAUUUAAACAAAAAUGACAAAUUUCCAAAUUGCUAUUAUUGAGGGGGAAUUAUUUUGAAUUUUUUAUUCAUCGAGUUGAGAACUGACGUCUAUGAACGUCAGGGGAUUUUUGAUCGCGCGAGCAAAGUUGGGAGUGCAAGAGCCCGACUGCUUACGGGUUAAGAGAAGCCGGUGAGCAACGAACGUUUGAUGUUAACGUAUUAAUGAAGCCACGAAAAAUAAGUUUUAUGAACAAACAAAGUUAAUAAAUAAUUGUACAAAUGUUA